AUAAUGACGGUACCCUAGGAGGAAGCCCCGGCUAACUACGUGCCAGCAGCCGCGGUAAUACGUAGGGGGCGAGCGUUGUCCGGAAUUAUUGGGCGUAAAGGGUUCGCAGGCGGUUUUUUAAGUCAGAUGUGAAAGGCUACGGCUCAACCGUGGUAAGCAUUUGAAACUGAAAGACUUGAGUUAAGGAGAGGAAAGUGGAAUUCCUAGUGUAGCGGUGAAAUGCGUAGAUAUUAGGAGGAAUACCAGUGGCGAAGGCGACUUUCUGGACUUAUACUGACGCUGAGGAACGAAAGCGUGGGGAGCAAACAGGAUUAGAUACCCUGGUAGUCCACGCCGUAAACGAUGAGCGCUAGGUGUUGGGGGUCAAACCUCGGUGCCGCAGCUAACGCAUUAAGCACUCCGCCUGGGGAGUACGUACGCAAG
rnacentral:rRNA from 1 species